rnacentral:misc_RNA from 1 species
AAGUCGUAACAAGGUUUCCGUAGGUGAACCUGCGGAAGGAUCAUCAUCGAUUUCAUAUCCCCCUCAACCGGAGGGGGACCCAUGAUAAACCCUUCUGUGCACCGUAAACCGUUCACUUUGGCAGGCUUUGGUGGUGAGCGUGAGCUCGCCUCCAACCUCGCGUUCCCUCCCUAGGGGUGUUACGCGUGGCGGCCUGCCGGAGUCCCAUUAAAAAACUCGUUUUCGAACACGUCUGAAAAUUUCCUUUGAGAAAUCAAAGAACCGAAAACAACUUUCAACAACGGAUCUCUUGGCUCUC